GACGAACGCUGGCGGCGUGCCUAACACAUGCAAGUCGAGCGAGGAGAUUCCCUUCGGGGAUGAACCUAGCGGCGGACGGGUGAGUAACACGUGGGCAACCUGCCUUGUAGAGGGGAAUAGCCUUCCGAAAGGAAGAUUAAUACCGCAUAACAUUGUUUUAUCCCAUGAUAGAACAAUCAAAGGAGCAAUCCGCUACAAGAUGGGCCCGCGGCGCAUUAGCUAGUUGGUGAGGUAACGGCUCACCAAGGCAACGAUGCGUAGCCGACCUGAGAGGGUGAUCGGCCACAUUGGGACUGAGACACGGCCCAAACUCCUACGGGAGGCAGCAGUGGGGAAUAUUGCACAAUGGGGGAAACCCUGAGGCAGCAACGCCGCGUGAAUGAUGAAGGUCUUCGGAUCGUAAAGUUCUGUCCUCAGGGACGAUAAUGACGGUACCUGAGGAGGAAGCCACGGCUAACUACGUGCCAGCCGCCGCCGUAAUAC
rnacentral:rRNA from 1 species